rnacentral:rRNA from 1 species
UACGUAGGGUGCAAGCGUUGUCCGGAAUUAUUGGGCGUAAAGAGCUCGUAGGCGGUCUGUUGCGUCGGCUGUGAAAACCCGGGGGCUCAACCCCCGGGCCUGCAGCCGAUACGGGCAGACUAGAGUUCGGCAGGGGAGACUGGAAUUCCUGGUGUAGCGGUGAAAUGCGCAGAUAUCAGGAGGAACACCGGUGGCGAAGGCGGGUCUCUGGGCCGAUACUGACGCUGAGGAGCGAAAGCGUGGGGAGCAAACAGG